GAAAGUCCUUCGGGAUGAGUACAGCGGCGGACGGGUGAGGAAUACGUAGAUAAUCUGCCUUAAACAGGGGAAUAACUACUCGAAAGAGUAGCUAAUACCGCAUAAGACCACAGGGGCUUCGGCUCUAGGGGUAAAAGGCUUCGGUCGGUUUAAGAUGAGUCUGCGCCCGAUUAGCUAGUUGGUAAGGUAAUGGCUUACCAAGGCUACGAUCGGUAACUGGUCUGAGAGGAUGGCCAGUCACACUGGAACUGAGACACGGUCCAGACUCCUACGGGAGGCAGCAGUAGGGAAUAUUGCACAAUGGAGGAAACUCUGAUGCAGCGACGCCGCGUGAGUGAUGAAGGCCUUCGGGUUGUAAAACUCUGUGAUAAGGGAAGAUGAUGACGGUACCUUAUCAGAAAGGACCGGCUAACUUCGUGCCAGCAGCCGCGGUAAUACGAGGGGUCCAAGCGUUGUUCGGAAUCACUGGGCGUAAAGCGGGUGUAGGUGGCCAAGCAAGUUAGAUGUGAAAGCCCCGGGCUCAACCCGGGAAGUGCAUCUAAAACUACAUGGCUUGAGUAAGGGAGAGAAAGGUAGAAUUCCAGGUGUAGUGGUGAAAUACGUAGAUAUCUGGAGGAACACCGGUGGCGAAGGCGGCCUUUUGGCCCAUUACUGACACUCAGACCCGAAAGCGUGGGUAGCAAACAGGAUUAGAUACCCUGGUAGUCCACGCCGUAAACUAUGAUCACUUGGUGUUGGAGGUAUUGACCCCUUCAGUGCCGGAGCUAACGCGUUAAGUGAUCCGCCUGGGAAGUACGGUCGCAAGAUUAAAACUCAAAGAAAUUGACGGGGGCCCG
rnacentral:rRNA from 1 species